CCGAGUUUACAACUCCCAAAACCCAAUGUGAACAUACCUUCAGUUGCUUCGGCGGACUCGCCCCAGCGUCCGGACGGCCUCGCGCCGCCCGCGGCCUGGAGCCAGGCGGCCGCCGGAGACCCCCCAAACUCUCUGUAUUGUACAGUCUCUUCUGAAUCCUGCCGCAAGGCACUAUAAAUGAAUCA
rnacentral:misc_RNA from 1 species